rnacentral:rRNA from 1 species
UACGGAGGAUGCAAGCGUUAUCCGGAAUGAUUGGGCGUAAAGCGUCCGCAGGUGGCUGUGUAAGUCUGCUGUUAAAGAGUGAGGCUCAACCUCAUAAAAGCAGUGGAAACUACACGGCUAGAGUGCGUUCGGGGCAGAGGGAAUUCCAGGUGUAGCGGUGAAAUGCGUAGAUAUCUGGAGGAACACCGGUGGCGAAGGCGACAUCCUGGACCGGUAUUGACGCUGAGGCGCGAAAGCCAGGGGAGCAAACGGG